GAUACCCUAUUAUUUUAAAUGUAAUUUUAUUAACUAAAAUUAUUAAUAGCUAUGUUCUUUAAAAUUAAAAAUUUUGGCGGUAUUUUAGUCUUUUCAGAGGAACCUGUUUCUUGAUCGAUAAUCCACGAUAAUUUUUACUUUAUCUUUAAAUUUAUAUAUCGUCGUUUAUAAGAAUUUUAUUAGAAUUUAAAUUUUUGAUAUUUUUUAUUAAACAUAAUUUCAGAUCAAGGUGUAGUUUAUGUUAAAGUUGAAAUGGGUUACAUUAAAUUUAUUUAUGGUUUUAAAAUUGAAAAUUUUAAGUAAAUUGGAUUUGAAAGUAAUAAUUAUAUUUUUAUAUUAUGAUUAAGCUCUAAAAUAUGCACACAUCGCC
rnacentral:rRNA from 1 species